rnacentral:snRNA from 1 species
UUUUCACUCGGCCUUUUGGCUAAGAUCAAGUGUAGUAUCUGUUCUUAACAGUUUAAUAUCUGAUAUGUCCCCUAUCUGGAGACCAUAUAUUAAAUUGAUUUUUGGAACAGGGAGAUGGAAUAGGGGCUUGCUCAGUCCACUCCACGCAUCGACCUGGUAUUGCAGUACUUUCAGGAGCGGUGCACUUUCU